rnacentral:lncRNA from 1 species
UUACCAUACCUUUGAUAAGCAAUAAGUGAAGAAGAGAAUGAAUGAAAAUUGUUAGAAGGUUACUUUGUUUAUUUUAUUUUAUUUUAUUUUAUUAUUAUUUUUUUGUUUACGUGUUAUAACUUCUAAAAACAUUAAACUAUAAUGCCAGGGGUAAGCUGACAGUGCGGCAGGUACAGUAGGCUUACCUUUUAUUUUGAGACUGCAUUGCCGCUAUCCUGAUGCUCACGCUUUGAUGCCACACACGUGCUCCUCGCUAACUUAACUUACGUAAACAAACAUCAAUCCCGCGGGCGAGAAUUCGUAUUUGUGGAUGAUUGUGAGUUAGCAACGAUUAUAUUUCAGUAUGUUUAUACAACAAUAAACAUAUUUAAAAUAUGUUUAGAGCUUGACAUCUUGCAUUCCUCAUGUGCCAAACUUCAUGACUUGUUGAAACUACACGAGGAUUUCCAGGUUUAUCUGAUGUGCUGUGACAUAUACAGAAAAUCUCAUCGCGCUGCAGUUUUCAUCCAUCUCAGAAUGUGCUGCUGCUCUGAACGCGACCAGCAGUUCAGGUGCACACAGUAUGUGAGUAUAUGGAAGAGAGAGAGAGAAAGAGCAUGUCUUGACAGCGCUUGACUGCUAAGAAGCAGAAUUGAUCUGCUGAAGGAGCCGAUAUGCUGGCUGUAAAUUAUUCACACGGUGCAUGACUCUCAGCGCAGAAUGCACUAUGGAAAACUCAGUCUUAGCCGGGGCUCGGCCGAGCAGCACCAGCGAACGCCGUCAACCCUCCAGCCUCUACCCCCCACCUCCAUCCCUCUGACAUCCACCCAGAGAGAGCAGCCAUGAUGUGGUCAAACAGCAUAACAUAUGACCCUAAGGGAAGGCCAGAGGCGAUGCAGCCUGCCUUCUCUAUUUCACCCUCUCUUUCUUGCACCUACUGUACACAUGCGCUGGUCAGGCAGAC